rfam:Cuculus canorus isolate BGI_N303 unplaced genomic scaffold scaffold785, whole genome shotgun sequence.
CGGCGACAAUGAUGACAGAAAACAGUAGCUGUAGGUAAUGUUCCAUUACCGCCUGGAGACACCAGUCCCUCUAAACUGACGUUGCCG